GUUUUGUGGUGUAGUGGCUAUCACGUGGAAGGUCCUAGGUUCGAGCCCUGGUAGAAACA
rnacentral:tRNA from 1 species